rnacentral:rRNA from 1 species
GAAACUGCGAAUGGCUCAUUAAAUCAGUUAUCGUUUAUUUGAUAGUACCUUACUACUUGGAUAACCGUGGUAAUUCUAGAGCUAAUACAUGCUAAAAACCUCGACUUCGGAAGGGGUGUAUUUAUUAGAUAAAAAACCAAUGCCCUUCGGGGCUCCUUGGUGAAUCAUGAUAACUUAACGAAUCGCAUGGCCUUGCGCCGGCGAUGGUUCAUUCAAAUUUCUGCCCUAUCAACUUUCGAUGGUAGCAUAGUGGGCUACCAUGGUAUCAACGGGUAACGGGGAAUUAGGGUUCUAUUCCGGAGAGGGAGCCUGAGAAACGGCUACCACAUCCAAGGAAGGCAGCAGGCGCGCAAAUUACCCAAUCCCGACACGGGGAGGUAGUGACAAUAAAUACUGAUACAGGGCUCUUUUGGGUCUUGUAAUUGGAAUGAGUACAAUUUAAAUACCUUAACGAGGAACAAUUGGAGGGCAAGUCUGGUGCCAGCAGCCGCGGUAAUUCCAGCUCCAAUAGCGUAUAUUAAAGUUGUUGCAGUUAAAAAGCUCGUAGUUGAACCUUGGGCCUGGCUGGCCGGUCUGCCUCACCGCAUGUACUGGUUCGGCCGGGCCUUUCCUCCUGGGGAUCCGCAUGCCCUUCACUGGGCGUGUUGGGGAACCAGGACUUUUACUUUGAAAAAAUUAGAGUGUUCAAAGCAGGCCUUUGCUCGAAUACAUUAGCAUGGAAUAAUAGAAUAGGACGUGCGGUCCUAUUUUGUUGGUUUCUAGGACCGCCGUAAUGAUUAAUAGGGAUAGUCGGGGGCAUCAGUAUUCAGUUGUCAGAGGUGAAAUUCUUGGAUUUACUGAAGACUAACUACUGCGAAAGCAUUUGCCAAGGAUGUUUUCAUUAAUCAGUGAACGAAAGUUAGGGGAUCGAAGACGAUCAGAUACCGUCGUAGUCUUAACCGUAAACUAUGCCGACUAGGGAUCGGGCGAUGUUAUUCUUUUGACUCGCUCGGCACCU